AAGCUAGUUCCACAAGAACAAAAUUGCUUUUUGUCCAUCUCUUAGUAGCUUCCUUAGCCAAAUAGGCAUCGCGCUCUGAAGGAUUCAAUGUCCACACUACCACCAAUUUCUCAAAUCAUUGGUAAGUUCUCUGUCCAACUCUUUAAGGAUAUCUUCACCAAAAGUCUCAGCAUAAGUCUGUUGAAUCAACUUGCGUUGAGCAGCAUUUCUAUUAGCCAAAAUUGAUAUGAUCAACUUCUCGUUUGUUCCCCAUCCUUUGAAGGCAGCUCGGAGUUGUUCACAGUCUUCAGCAACUGAAGGAACUUCUGCCGUAACAAUAAGACUAGCCAUUUUUUUCAAGACUUGUAAAUGCUAGCUAAGGUCCGUCCUCAUCUCCAUAGCUUCAUCGACGAAUAAUACACACACAGUCAUAUGGACAGAAAAGUAAGAGAAAAUCUCGACUUUUGCUUUGAUCUUUGCUCAUGGAGUUUAUUUGAGGUCGUUGUUCUAAGGUUCGAGUUUCCGAUGAAGUUUCCGGGAAGAUCUUAUUUCCGCUCGAGUUCGUCCUAGCUUUAUCCGGUCAGUCCAUUCAACAUAUUGUUAGCGUUCAUUCAUGAUUGUUUAAGUUAGAAUUGUGUUAGUUCAUGCCUUGUAGAUGUGUCAAUCAUGGUUGGAAAUUUGACGUUGUUAGUUCAAUAUAAUUUUGUUCUGAUUCAAUAUGAUGUUAUUCUGAUUCAUGGGUUAUCAAUUGUGUUUCAAGCUUAAAAUUGUGAUUUGAGUUUCAUGAAUCCUAAUGUUGUUCUGACAUGAAUUUGAUCUUGAAGAAUAUGACUUUGUUGAAAUGAUUCUUGAGUGCUGUUGAUUGAGAGUUAAUUUCAUGUGCUAAUCAGUCAAUUGUUAGGCUUGAAUUGGUUAUAGCUGUUGUAGCUUAAGUGAUUAAUUAAGAAUCAGUGUAGUAAUUUAUUAGGUGUAUUUGGUUAGAGCUGAUUGAUUCUGUGCAGAUAGAAAUGGAUAGGGGCAGGGUAGUAAUUUUUAGUUAUUUCGGGGGUAUUUUGGAAAUUGAUUAAAUGUAGGCCCAUAACUUUUAAUUAAAAUAAAAGGGACCAAGGGUAGUGGGGGACAAGACAUAAUUAUUAAAGUAAAAGAGGGUGGGGACUGUGUAGUCCACGUUUGACUACUCUUUGCUUUAAUAAUAAAAGCUGAAAAGUAAAAGUAAAAGGAGGGGGUAAUAAUAAAAGAGUAGUAAUAAUAAUUAAAGGGAGGAGAAAGAAUCUUGCAUUUUGGGGUAUAUAAUAGCAGUAAUUUUAACAUUUAGGGAGAGAAGAUUUAAGAGAGAAAAAAUAUUUGCAGUAUUAAAGGGAAAUAAAAAAAAUUCAGAUUCAGCCUUUGAGAAUUCAAAAACUGAAAGUGAAGUCUUUAUUUACUGCUAAAAUCAGAACAUUGUUACUGCUUCUGUGGUUUGCAUUUGGCUCUGCUGAUUUUCGGAUUGAAUUCUUGGGUUUCUGAUCUUGGUUUUGCUGUUGGAUUAUUUUUGAAUCUAUUUCUUGAGUGUGGAAUCAUCUUUGUUGAUUUUAAAAUUUGUCCCUGGGCGUUUAAUUUGCUACUGUUGUUGCUGUUUUCUAUUGUUCCUUAGCUACGGCUGACCCUUGUCUUCUCCUGUCUUAUUUCUCUAAUCCAGGUAUUCACUUGAGUUAAAUACCGGAGUAACUGUGCAGUUGAGCAUGAGUUGAAAUGUGAAGACUUUUUAUUAUGAAAUAUUGUACCUCUAGUUUAAUAGAUACAAUGAUAAUUAGUUAUGUAAUUUUUUGUUUUAAUUCAACAAAAAUGCAUUAGGUAGAUUGUACUUAAUUGAAGCUUUAUUUAUUUUAAAACUAUAAUUUGUAGUUGUUUAAUUAUAUAUUUAAUAUAGUUAUGUGAUUUGUGCGAAUGAACAUGUUGUUAGUAGAUCGAUAAUUAGAUUUCAUCCUUAAUAGUCUCUUACAUAUAUAAGGUAAUUCGGAAUCACCUUCAAUUAAAAUUGGCAAACAUUUAAUAUGGGGAAUCGAUUUAACUUAAUUGGUUGGUAAGAUCUAGCUCUGAACUUGCGAAUAUUGGAAUAGGAGCAAUUUGAAAUUGGUAAUUUUUGAAUCUUGUUAGUAACAAAGAUCCGCAAGUAUGAAGCAAAU
rnacentral:lncRNA from 1 species